rnacentral:rRNA from 1 species
GACAGAGGGUGCAAACGUUGUUCGGAAUUACUGGGCGUAAAGCGAGUGUAGGCGGUCUCCUAAGUCGGGUGUGAAAGCCCCGGGCUCAACCCGGGAAGUGCACUCGAAACUGGGAGGCUAGAGUAUCGGAGAGGUUGGUGGAAUUCUCGGUGUAGAGGUGAAAUUCGUAGAUAUCGAGAGGAACACCGGUGGCGAAGGCGGCCAACUGGACGAAUACUGACGCUGAGACUCAAAAGCGUGGGGAGCAAACAGG